CACACACACACACGCACACACACACACACGGAGUUCCUCAGCCGUGUGUGGACGUAAAGGCAGCAUUACGCAGAUCUCUCCUCCAGCUUCAGCGUGUUCUGUGUCUCCACUGCAGAGACUAACGGGUCAGGGAGAUGGAUGAGAAGCGUGUAAAGAAGACAAGUGUGCAGAAUGGCAGUGCCUCCCUCUCACACCCCCCGAAGGAAGAGAAAGCCACCGUGCUUCAGAAAGAGGUAGGUCUAGUGAGCGGAGUGUGUUUGAUCGUAGGGACGAUGAUCGGUUCUGGAAUCUUCAUCUCACCGAAAGCCGUGCUGGUGGGAACUGGAGCUGUG